rnacentral:rRNA from 1 species
AUUGAACGCUGGCGGCAUGCCUUACACAUGCAAGUCGAACGGCAGCACGGGAGCAAUCCUGGUGGCGAGUGGCGAACGGGUGAGUAAAGUAUCGGAACGUGCCCAGUCGUGGGGGAUAACGUAGCGAAAGUUACGCUAAUACCGCAUACGAUCUAUGGAUGAAAGCGGGGGAUCGCAAGACCUCGCGCGAUUGGAGCGGCCGAUAUCAGAUUAGGUAGCUGGUGGGGUAAAGGCUCACCAAGCCGACGAUCUGUAGCUGGUCUGAGAGGACGACCAGCCACACUGGGACUGAGACACGGCCAAGACUCCUACGGGAGGCAGCAGUGGGGAAUUUUGGACAAUGGGCGCAAGCCUGAUCCAGCCAUGCCGCGUGCAGGAGGAAGGCCUUCGGGUUGUAAACUGCUUUUGUACGGAACGAAAAGGUUUGGCCUAAUAAGCUGAGCUCAUGACGGUACCGUAAGAAUAAGCACCGGCUAACUACGUGCCAGCCGCCGCCGUAA